UCAGGUACUCGAUCAGAGGCCGGCUCCUCCUGCACCCAGGGCAGGAUCCUCCAACAGCGGCACAGUGGAGCUGCGGCAUGUCCCAGAAUCGAAGUGAGUCUUGUUCUGGACGGAGGAAAGAAAAGGGUGAACCAGACCUCUUGAGGUAUCCCCGUGUUUCUGGAAUGGAUUUUUAUUAGUGCUGACAGUGAGCCUGGUCUCGUCUCGCCCAGCUCCAGACAAGACAUGGGCUCUGGAGGAGCUUCAGGACGCAGUGGAAGAACUUCUGAAAGCUUAUAACGCUUCUAACUUUAGAAAUGAAUCAUCUUUGUUGGAGAACAUGGACCUGAGAGUGAAGUGCAUCACAAGGGAGAAGUCAGUGAACGUGGCACAGUUCACAGACUGCUUGCGCAUUUCAAGAUUACCUCAACAAGACACAUCACCACCAGCUGGACUUGAAUCCAAAGGACUUAGACCUCCACACCCACUUUAUAUACACCAAAAACCAACUUGUUCUGUUUCUUAAGCAAUUUUCAACAGUGUGCAGUUCCAAGGCGUGUGACAAUAACCCUGCUGAUCUCUUCAAAAAGAAGUUACUGGGCUACAAAGUUCUGCGACUCUUUGUGCAGUGACUUGAAAAAUUAUUAUCAAGAAAGAGGGUCACGGCAAGUGAAGACCAAUGAAAAAAUGUGGAUGUAUUUUUGUUUUAUUUAUUAAUGUUAUUUAUGUA